UGCUUCCUGGAAGGUCACAACAUGGUUGUUGGGAAAAUGGGAUGGUUGCCAGAACACCGGACUGUGAUGGGUGCCAUACUGUAUUGCACUUCGAGUGGUGGAAUACAACUUGGGUUUCCUCAGGGCUGAUUAACACGGUUCAAACUGGACCAUACAGCUGCUUAACAUCCUAGCUGUUUGAUUCAUGGUAAUGGUUAAUGGUCUCCUGGGGCAAGUGGAAGAGCCUCAUGCUGAAUCUUUGUGGAUAUUGUGGAACAUGCUGCUGAGACCCAUUUGGAUUACAUCGCCAUCUGACACCAAGAUUCUGCAGCUGAUGAAAGGAGUUUACCAGAUCUUUUUAUGUGGUUGCUGAAGCAUUGUCCUGGGACAGCAGUAGUGACAGAUGGAUGAACAGAACACACUUCAGGCUUGAGUCACAGAGAAACCUGAGGAUUUACACUUCUGAAGUAGGUGUGAAUGAGAUUGAAGGGAUUACAUGGAGGAUUCUGAACUCCCCUUCUUCCUGCUCCGGGAAAGACGGGAAAGCCUCAUCAAGUUAUGCAGAUCCCUUCCCGUUUGCACUUUUACCGCGACUUCUGCAGAAAAUCUGGAUUCUGGUGAUAAGAAUUCUCCCAGUUCCUAGUGAAGGCCUAGGCCUGCUCUGA
rnacentral:lncRNA from 12 species